rnacentral:ncRNA from 1 species
AGACAUAUGUAUGACUUGAAGAUCCAGAUUUUGGAAUUAUCUACAUAAAAUGAUGAUUAAAACAGUAAGAAUGGCAUGCAAAUUACUCCCAACCCAGGGGAGCGGGGUGACAAAAAAUAACAAUACAGGACUCUUUCAAGUCCCUGUAUUUUGAAUGAGUCCACUUUAAAUCCUUUAUCAAGGUUCCAUUGGAGGGCAAGUCUGGUGCCAGCAGCUACAGUAAUUCCAGCUCCAAUAGCAUAUAUU